UAAGAAUCCUAUUUAUAAUUAAUAUCAAUUAUUAAUAAAUCUCUUUUUUUUUUUCCCACUCCAGGAAAAAAAACCUGUGAAAAAACGAGUUCUGAACCCCAAAAAAACUCCAACAAGCACCAAGAAAAUUCCCACCACCAGCACCAAGGGCCCCAAAGCCCUGGCAGGAAAAAAGGAAAAAGUGAAGAAAACCCUGGGAGAGAAGAAAGUGAAGAAAGCCUCGAAUGUGGGAGGGAAAGCGGCCGCGGAAGAUUCCGGAACUCCGGCUGAGGCCGGGCUGGAAAUUCCGGGAUCGGAGCCCUCUGAGCCCUCGGAUCCCAACGAUGCCCAUCCCAAAAUUCCCCAUCCCAACAAUCCCCAUCCCAACCCCUCCCCGGAGCCAGACGGGCCAGGGGAGCCCGGGGCAGCCGCAGAGGCAGGGCCAGAGCCUGCAGUGAGCGAGGAACCCACGGAUCCAGGCGGGAAGGAUGCCCCCGAGCCGUGCUGCGUGCUGCUGGUGUCCAACCUGCCGGCCAAGGGCUGCUCCCCCCAGGAGAUCUCCAACCUGGCCAAGCCCUUCGGGGGCCUGCGGGACCUGCUCAUCCUCUCCUCCCACAAAAAGGUAAAUCCCGGGAAUGCUGGCGAGGAGAGCCCUGAGGAUGGAGGCUGGAAUUUCUGGGGAUUUUGGGGACUUUGGGGGAUUUUUUUUUGGUUUUUUUUUAUUAUUUUUGGGGAUAUUUUUAAGAAUUUUUGAGAUUUUUUUUUUUUAAAUUUUUCGAAGAUAUUUUGAAAAUUUUUGACAGAUUAUUUUUAGGAUUUUUGAGGGUUUCUUGGGGGGUUUCUUGGGAAUUUUGGGGGAUUUUUUUUUUAAUUUUCUGGGGAUUUUUGAAGGUUUUUUUUAUUUUGAGGUAUUGGGGGGAUUUUUUUAGGAUUUUUGGGGAAUUUUUUUAGGAUUUAUUUGAGAUAUUUUAAAAUAAGUUUUUUGGGAUUAUUUUUGAAAUUUCUUGGGAUUUAGAGGGA
rnacentral:lncRNA from 1 species